UUUGGACACUGGGCGAAGCCUGAUCCAGCCAUGCCGCGUGUGUGAAGAAGGUCUUCGGAUUGUAAAGCACUUUAAGUUGGGAGGAAGGGCAGUUACCUAAUACGUGAUUGUUUUGACGUUACCGACAGAAUAAGCACCCGGCUAACUCUGUGCCAGCAGCCG
rnacentral:rRNA from 1 species